GAGUAAGCACCGGCUUACUCCGUGCCAGCAGCCGCGGUAAUACGGAGGGUGCAAGCGUUGAUCGGAAUUACUGGGCGUAAAGCGAGAGCAGUUGCUUUAAUAAGUCAGAUGUGAAAUCUCUAGGCUUAACCUAGAAACUGCAUCUGAUACUAUUAAACUAGAGUGUAAGAGAGGGUGAUGGAAUUCCCAGUGUAGGGGUAAAAUCCGUAGAUAUUGGGAGGAACACCGGAGGCGAAGGCGAUCACCUGGCUUACAACUGACACUCAUCCUCGAGAGCAUGGGUAGCAAACAGGAUUAGAUACCCUGGUAGUCUAUGCUGUAAACGAUGGACACUAGAUGUUGUGGGAUUUGAUCCCUGCAGUAUCGUAGUUAACGCGUUAAGUGUCCCGCCUGGGGAAUACGGUCGCAAGAUUAAAACUCAAAGAAAUUGACGGGGGCCCGCACAAGCGGUGGAGCAUGUGGUUCAAUUCGAGGCAACGCGAAAAACCUUACCUGGGCUUGACAUCCUGCUUUAAAUCAUAGAGAUAUGGUCUAGUCUUCGGACAAGGCAGGACAGGUGCUGCAUGGCUGUCGUCAGCUCGUGUCGUGAGAUGUUGGGUUAAGUCCUGCAACGAGCGCAACCCUUAUCAUUAGUUGCCAUCAUUAAGUUGGGUACUCUAAUGAGACUGCCAGGUGUUAAACCGGAGGAAGGUGGGGAUGACGUCAAGUCAUCACGGCCCUUAUGUCCAGGGCUACACACGUGCUACAAUGGUCGGUACAAAGAGCUGCAAACCCGCAAGGGGGAGCUAAUCUCAAAAAGCCGAUCUCAGUUCGGAUCGGAGUCUGCAAUUUGACUUCGUGAAGCUGGAAUCGCUAGUAAUCGCGAAUCAGCAUGUCGCGGUGAUACGUUCCCGGGCAUUGUACACACCGCCCGUCACACCACGAAAGUUUAUUGUACCAGAAGAGGUGAAGCUA
rnacentral:rRNA from 1 species